UAAAAUCCCUGUUGUUGAGGAAGAUAAUGACGGUACUCAACAAGGAAGUGACGGCUAACUACGUGCCAGCAGCCGCGGUAAAACGUAGGUCACAAGCGUUGUCCGGAAUUACUGGGUGUAAAGGGAGCGCAGGCGGGARAACAAGUUGGAAGUGAAAUCCAUGGGCUCAACCCAUGAACUGCUUUCAAAACUGUUUUUCUUGAGUAGUGCAGAGGUAGGCGGAAUUCCCGGUGUAGCGGUGGAAUGCGUAGAUAUCGGGAGGAACACCAGUGGCGAAGGCGGCCUACUGGGCACCAACUGACGCUGAGGCUCGAAAGUGUGGGUAGCAAACAGGAUUAGAUACCCUGGUAGUCCACACCGUAAACGAUGAUUACUAGGUGUUGGAGGAUUGACCCCUUCAGUGCCGCAGUUAACACAAUAAGUAAUCCACCUGGGGAGUACGACCGCAAGGUUGAAACUCAAAGGAAUUGACGGGGGCCCGCACAAGCAGUGGAGUAUGUGGUUUAAUUCGACGCAACGCGAAGAACCUUACCAAGUCUUGACAUCCCUUGACGAUGCUGGAAACAGUAUUUCUCUUCGGAGCAAGGAGACAGGUGGUGCAUGGUUGUCGUCAGCUCGUGUCGUGAGAUGUUGGGUUAAGUCCCGCAACGAGCGCAACCCUUAUGGUCAGUUACUACGCAAGAGGACUCUGGCCAGACUGCG
rnacentral:rRNA from 1 species